UGGGGAAUAUUGGACAAUGGGGGCAACCCUGAUCCAGCAAUGCCGCGUGUGUGAAGAAGGUCUUCGGAUUGUAAAGCACUUUCGACGGGGACGAUGAUGACGGUACCCGUAGAAGAAGCCCCGGCUAACUUCGUGCCAGCAGCCGCGGUAAUACGAAGGGGGCUAGCGUUGCUCGGAAUGACUGGGCGUAAAGGGCGUGUAGGCGGUUUACACAGUCAGAUGUGAAAUCCCCGGGCUUAACCUGGGAGCUGCAUUUGAUACGUGUAGACUAGAGUGUGAGAGAGGGGUUUGUGG
rnacentral:rRNA from 1 species